UGUUGAUUCAAUUCAUAUUUCUUUAAAAGUUGUAACAUAAAGGUUUCUGUAAUUAGCACUGAGACUAACCCAAAACCAACAUAAAAUCUUUACAAGGUAAUCAUAGAACCAACUUUAUUACGCAUAAAAGACUGAUUUUCUUCUUCAAUGAUAUCCGAUUGGAGCCGGAGAAUCCUUAAGCUCGAGUCCUUGGUAAUUGAUUAACAUCACGAUGAUGGGCCUCAUCUGCUCUCACAACCAUAACAACAUCACGAAGCGUCGAAUCAGCUGGAAGACGCCAAUAGUCAAUAGCAAUGGCUGGCGCCUUAACAUUUUCUAUGUUGCCUUUGUCAAGCUCCUUCAAGAACUCAGUGUACGAGUGGAUUGCUUCU
rnacentral:lncRNA from 1 species